rnacentral:rRNA from 1 species
GACGAACGCUGGCGGCGUGCUUAACACAUGCAAGUCGUACGGUAAGGCCCUUUCGGGGGUACACGAGUGGCGAACGGGUGCGUAACACGUGAGUAACCUGCCCACAACUUUGGGAUAACGCUAGGAAACUGGUGCUAAUACUGGAUAUGUGCUCCUGCUGCAUGGUGGGGGUUGGAAAGCUCCGGCGGUUGUGGAUGGACUCGCGGCCUAUCAGCUUGUUGGUGGGGUAGUGGCCUACCAAGGCGGCGACGGGUAGCCGGCCUGAGAGGGUGACCGGCCACAUUGGGACUGAGAUACGGCCCAGACUCCUACGGGAGGCAGCAGUGGGGAAUAUUGCACAAUGGGCGCAAGCCUGAUGCAGCAACGCCGCGUGCGGGAGAACGGCCUUCGGGUUGGAAACCGCUUUCAGCAGGGACGAAGCUUUUUGUGACGGUACCUGCAGAAGAAGCACCGGCUAACUACGUG